UCCCCGUUAUACGGGGCAGUCUCGCAUGAAAAAUACAACAUACGACAAGGGUUGCGCUCGUUUACGGACUUAACCGAACACCUCAAGGCACGAGCUGACGACAACCAUGCAGCACCUGUCAUCCGGUUCCUUACGGCACCUCCGCAUUUCUGCAGAGUUCCGGAGAUGUCAAGCCUAGGUAAGGUUCAUCGCUUAUUGUCGAAUUAAACCACAUGCUCCACCGCUUGUGUGGGUCCCCGUCUAUUCCUUUGAGUUUUAAUCUUGCGAUCGUACUCCUCAGGCGGAAUGCUUAAUGUGUUAACGUCGGCACUCAAAGGGGAUCGAACCCUUCGAACACCUAGCAUUCAUCGUUUAGGGCGUGGACUAC
rnacentral:misc_RNA from 1 species